GACGAACGCUGGCGGCGUGCUUAACACAUGCAAGUCGAACGAUGAAAGAGGAGCUUGCUCCUCUGGAUUAGUGGCGAACGGGUGAGUAACACGUGAGCAAUCUGCCCCUGACUCCGGAAUAACUACGGGAAACUGUAGCUAAUACCGGAUAUGCGCCGAACAGGCAUCUGUAUCGGUGGGAAAGAAGUUCGGUCAGCGAUGAGCGCGCGGCCUAUCAGCUUGUUGGUGGGGUAACGGCACACCAACGGGACGACGGGUAGGUGGCCUGAGUGGGUGACCGGGGUCAAUAGGCCUGAGACAGGGACCAGACGGCUACAGGGGGCAGCAGUGGGAAAUAUUACACAGUCAGCGCGAGCCUGAGACGGCAACCUCGCGUUAGGGAUGACGGCCUUCGGGGUGAGAACCGCUUUUGGCUGAGAAGAAGCGAUAGUGACGGUACCUAAAGAAAAAGCGCCGGCUAACUACGUG
rnacentral:rRNA from 1 species